AUCGGGGUAGAGGUGUACCAGCAAAAAGUGCAUUUGCCAGUUUAGCUUAUAGCAGUUCCCCGUAUGACACAAGCUAUACUGGCAGUUGUGUUCUGCACCAGGACUUUUGCCGGUGUGGCUAUGUUGGUCAGGGACCUGAUGUUUUGGGAGAAGUUUCAGCUAAAGCAGUUCAGUUGUUUCCAAGAAUGAGAUUCCGGGGAAAUAAGUUGUUUGGCUUAAUUUCUUACAACCCUUUUGUUGAGAAGCCCUAGCACUCCCCUGCUUUGGAGAAGGGGCUUGAAAUUUGGCAAAGGGGAAGCCAAGACAUAUGCCGUCCUCGUGAAAAUGCACCCCAAACUUGGUCAGCUUGGCGCCUCUUAAAAAUCACGGCUUGUACAUGCUCAGCAGAGACAACACGUCAAGUGAACUAUGUCCCUUUAAAAUGUUAGGGAAAUUAAAUAUAAGAUUAAGGUGGCAAAAUCAAGUACUCCGAAGUCAAGAAAUUCAACUUUGGCAACAUAAAUUCAGCUUCACAGCACGUCUGUGGCUUGAGUUCAGAACAGAGUGGUGGGACUGACCAACGGCCUGGAAAAACACUCCUAGGAAGAGAGUUUGAAAAGGUUGGGAUUGAGAAGAGACAGGUAAAAGGAGACAUGAUGAAAGGACAUAAAACACUGAAUAGGUGGGAUACUGAGAGCUUCUUUACUCUGUCUCCUAACACAAGGGGGCAUUCAAUGACAUUAAAAGAUGAAAAAUGCAAAACUGGUAAAAGGAAAAACUUUUCCAAACAGUGUGAUUAGCCUGCGGAACUCACAGUCACAUGAAGUUGUCUUUCUUACUAUUAGGGACCAGGAUGAAACCUAUUGCUGGGGGCAGAUUAUCCCACAGCUGCUACUGCUGGGUUCUUUCACUUUCCUCUGAAGCAUCUGGCACUGGCCACUGUCAGAGAUAUGGACAAGGGACUGGAUGGGGCUAGGGUCUGAUCCAGGCCAGCAAUUCCUAUGCUCCUAUGUAUGGGAGGGAGUGUGUCCUAGUGGAAAGAACUCUGGUUUGGGCCUAAGGAUAUCUGGAUUCUAUUCCCAGCUCAGCUGCUGAAUGACAUUAGGCUUCACCUUUCUGUGCCUCAGUUUCCUAUGUGUAUAAAUGGGGGUAAAGUGCUUGGAGAUGUGCUGAUGGGAAAUGCUGUGUAAGAGCCAGGGGUUGUAAUGAUGUUCUAGCCCUGUAUUUGUUGUUAAGUGUUCCGGGUGGCAUGCAGCUCCCAUUCGAAGCGUUACUGUCUUGGGUAUGGUCAGAAGCAUCUUUAACCCUUGCCGGUCCUUGACUUCUGAGUACCAGAUCUGGCAGAGGUCAGAUUGCAUUCGCGCUGGGAGGGGAGGGUCUUGGCCUGUAAUAUUUGUACACCUUGUAAUGCUGCAAAGUACCCUGAGGCAUGUGCAGUGGGUUGCAUAAAUUGACAAAUAAGAGGUGAAUGGAACGGCAAACAUUGGGUAAAUGGGCUGCCAUGUGGAGUCUUACGUGUACCAGGCAGCAGGGUCUACUGUGUAGCUCCCAUCAAGGCAGUCAAGUUAUCCCACCAAUGAAACAGUCGAGCAGCUUUCAACUGACAGGCAUUUUUGCUGUCUCCGUAGAAACUGAUUUUAAUGUGACGUGAAUCACACUCACACGCUGCUUUCCACCCCCAGGCCUCGCUCCCGCCAGCAGCUCUGUGCAUGUGCCCACCUGGACGCUGCUUGCACAGAGCAGCCUGCAGGGCUGCAGCCUAAGUCCGUGCUACUGGUUCUGAGCCCCAAAGUGGUACUGAGCCAAGUGCCAGGCGUGGUAUUUCGGAUUAAGGCAUUCCCAUAGGUGUGGAUGGAACAGGCCGGGAGAUAAACCAGGGGCUCCAUAUAGCUCUGCCAGCCCCAGAUAAAGGACUAUGGAGGUUUUCAGCUGGAUGGUUUGGAACUGGGGUUGGCUUUCGCUUGUUUUUCCUCCUUCUUAAAAACUGUUUCUUGCCAUCAGCAGUAGAGCUCUCCAGUGUCGAGAGCAGGGGGGCUGGAGCUGGGAUUCUUCAAGUUCAAGGCCAAAAAGGGACAACAGUGAUCAUCUAGUCUGGCCUUCGAACACAGGCUAGAGACCUGCCACUGAAUUGUUCCUACAGCGGAGCUUGUAGAAAACAAAGUUUGUCUUGAUUUUUAAAAUUGUCCGUGAUGGGGAAUCUAUCACAAUCCUUGAAAAUACUUGCUGGCCAAUGCUGGAAAACAGGGCUGUGCUGAGUGGAAAUGAAAAUGCCAGGCUCCCAUUCCCCUGCGGUUCCUCUGUCUGCUGGGAGGCUCAACCUUGUUUGACAUCAGCUGUUUCUCCGAGUGCUUUCAGCAGCCUGCCAGCCUCUAAAAGGGAAUCGGAGGAGUGCCUGGGUUCCCAUCCGGAGUCUUCCAUUGCACCGAGAAGGCUCGUCCACAGCCAGUGCCAUCUGCGAUCGGCCUGUCUCCCUCCUAGCUGCCCUCCAGUAGGUUAACGGGCAAAGCA